rnacentral:rRNA from 1 species
CCUACGGGUGGCUGCAGUGGGGAAUAUUGGACAAUGGGGGGAACCCUGAUCCAGCCAUGCCGCGUGUGUGAAGAAGGCCUUAUGGUUGUAAAGCACUUUAAGCGAGGAGGAGGCUACUAGUAUUAAUACUACUGGAUAGUGGACGUUACUCGCAGAAUAAGCACCGGCUAACUCUGUGCCAGCAGCCGCGGUAAUACAGAGGGUGCGAGCGUUAAUCGGAUUUACUGGGCGUAAAGCUAAGGCAAAUGUGAAAUCCCCGAGCUUAACUUGGGAAUUGCAUUCGAUACUGGAUGGCUAGAGUAUGGGAGAGGAUGGUAGAAUUCCAGGUGUAGCGGUGAAAUGCGUAGAGAUCUGGAGGAAUACCGAUGGCGAAGGCAGCCAUCUGGCCUAAUACUGACGCUGAGGUACGAAAGCAUGGGGAGCAAACAGGAUUAGAUACCCGUGUAGUC